rnacentral:rRNA from 1 species
UACAGAGGGUGCGAGCGUUAAUCGGAAUUACUGGGCGUAAAGCGCACGUAGGCGGCUUGGUAUGUCGGGUGUGAAAUCCCCGGGCUCAACCUGGGAACUGCAUCCGAAACUGCCUUGCUAGAGUAUGGGAGAGGGAAGUGGAAUUUCCGGUGUAGCGGUGAAAUGCGUAGAUAUCGGAAGGAACAUCAGUGGCGAAGGCGGCUCGCUGGGCCAUUCCUGACGCUGAGACGCGAAAGCUAGGGGAGCGAACAGG